UCCUUUAGCCACUCUGCCUUGGAGUGAGAUUACAUCAGAUCUCACAAGCUGAAGCAGGUUGGACCUUGUCUGUACUUGGAAAGGAAACCUCCAAGGAAAGUCCAAGUGCUGCAGAGG
ensembl:rRNA 5S_rRNA 5S ribosomal RNA